rnacentral:rRNA from 1 species
GCCGCAGCUAACGCAUUAAGUGCCCCGCCUGGGGAGUACGGCCGCAAGGCUAAAACUCAAAGGAAUUGACGGGGGCCCGCACAAGCGGCGGAGCAUGCGGAUUAAUUCGAUGCAACGCGAAGAACCUUACCAAGGCUUGACAUGUUCUCGAUCGCCGUAGAGAUACGGUUUCCCCUUUGGGGCGGGUUCACAGGUGGUGCAUGGUUGUCGUCAGCUCGUGUCGUGAGAUGUUGGGUUAAGUCCCGCAACGAGCGCAACCCUCGUUCCAUGUUGCCAGCACGUAAUGGUGGGGACUCAUGGGAGACUGCCGGGGUCAACUCGGAGGAAGGUGAGGACGACGUCAAAUCAUCAUGCCCCUUAUGUCUUGGGCUUCACGCAUGCUACAAUGGCCGGUACAAUGGGUUGCGAUACUGUGAGGUGGAGCUAAUCCCAAAAAGCCGGUCUCAGUUCGGAUUGGGGUCUGCAACUCGACCCCAUGAAGUCGGAGUCGCUAGUAAUCGCAGAUCAGCAACGCUGCGGUGAAUACGUUCCCGGGCCUUGUACACACCGCCCGUCAAGUCACGAAAGUCGGUAACACCCGAAGCCGGUGGC